GCUAGUAAUCGCAGAUCAGCAUGCUGCGGUGAAUACGUUCCCGGGCCUUGUACACACCGCCCGUCACACCAUGGGAGCCGGGAAUGCCCGAAGUCGGUGACCCAACCGUAAGGAGGGAGCCGCCGAAGGCAGGCCUGGUAACUGGGGUGAAGUCGUAACAAGGUACC
rnacentral:rRNA from 1 species